GUCUACAACAAAAUCACCAUGAACUUUCCCGGACUCAUCAGAUCUGGGAAGCGAAGCUGCGUUCAACCUGGUCAGUACUUGGAUAUGAGACUGCCUGGAAAUACCAGGUGUUGGAGGCU
rnacentral:rRNA from 1 species